rnacentral:rRNA from 1 species
CCUACGGGUGGCAGCAGUGGGGAAUAUUGGGCAAUGGAGGCAACUCUGACCCAGCAAUGCCGCGUGAAUGAAGACGGUCUUCGGAUUGUAAAGUUCUUUAAUCAGGGACGUAGAAUAUGACGCUCCCUGCUUACUACGCCACGUCUAACUAUGUGCCAGCAGCCGCGGUACUACAUAGGUCGCAAUCGUUGUCCGGAAUGACUGGGCGUAAAGGGAUCGUAGGCGGGUUGUUAAGUUGGAAGUGAAAUCCCGGGGCUCAACCCCGGAACUGCUUUCAAGACUGACGGACUUGAGUGUAAGAGGGGUAAGCGGAAUUCCUAGUGGAGCGGUGGAAUGCGUAGAUAUUAGGAGGAACACCAGUGGCGAAGGCGGCUUACUGGAUUAUAACUGACGCUGAGGCUCGAAAGCGUGGGUAGCAAACAGGAUUAGAUACCCGAGUAGUC